rnacentral:rRNA from 1 species
UACGUAGGGUGCAAGCGUUAGUCGGAAUUACUGGGCGUAAAGCGUGCGUAGGCGGUUGCGCAAGACAGGUGUGAAAUCCCCGGGCUUAACCUGGGAAUUGCACUUGUGACUGUGCGGCUGGAGUGCGGCAGAGGGGGAUGGAAUUCCGCGUGUAGCAGUGAAAUGCGUAGAUAUGCGGAGGAACACCGAUGGCGAAGGCAGUCCCCUGGGCCUGCACUGACGCUCAUGCACGAAAGCGUGGGGAGCAAACAGG